AGCCAUAGCUCAGUGGUAAAGCAUUAGCUUUGCAUGCAGAAGGUCCCAGGUUUCAUGUCACAUAUCUCCAGGUAGGGCUG